UGCCGGUCCAGAACGUUCCCCAGAGACAUCGCCUCGCUCGGUUUUCCCCUUCCUCCUCACGCACGACCGCCCCAACUUCCGCCGCCGCCUCCGCCGUCGCGAACUCGCUGUCGGCUUCCCCGUCCGCCCCCAUUCGGCGCCGCCUCCGCCUGUAGAGGCAGGCGGCCGCUCGAGAGCGAGGUCAUGUUGGAGAAAGACAGGAUAUCCUAUUUCUACGAUGGGGAUGUUGGCAAUGUGUACUUUGGGCCAAAUCAUCCGAUGAAACCGCAUCGCCUUUGCAUGACACAUCAUCUCGUGUUAUCAUAUGACCUUCACAAGAAAAUGGAGAUAUAUAGACCCCACAAAGCAUAUCCAACAGAGCUUGCGCAGUUCCAUUCUGCUGAUUAUGUGGAAUUCUUGCACCGAAUAACUCCUGAUACCCAGCACUUGUAUGCAAAUGAAUUAACUAGAUACAACCUUGGAGAGGACUGCCCGGUCUUUGAUGAUUUGUUUGAGUUCUGCCAAAUCUAUGCUGGAGGAACUCUAGAUGCGGCUCGAAGACUAAAUCAUAAAACAUGUGAUAUUGCUAUUAAUUGGGCUGGUGGGCUGCAUCAUGCAAAGAAGUGUGAGGCGUCAGGCUUCUGCUACAUUAAUGACCUGGUUUUGGGAAUUCUGGAGCUUCUCAAGUAUCAUGCUAGGGUCCUCUAUAUUGACAUUGAUGUCCAUCAUGGAGAUGGAGUUGAAGAAGCCUUCUAUUUCACUGACAGGGUAAUGACUGUAAGUUUCCACAAGUAUGGUGACAUGUUCUUUCCUGGCACAGGUGAUAUUAAGGAUAUGGGAGACAGGGAAGGAAAAUAUUAUGCAAUCAACAUCCCACUUAAAGAUGGCAUAGAUGACAUCAGUUUUACUCGGCUUUUUAAAACGAUUAUUGCCAAAGUUGUUGAGACAUAUCUGCCAGGUGCUAUUGUUCUUCAAUGUGGGGCUGAUUCAUUGGCGCGAGACCGCCUAGGGUGUUUCAAUCUUUCAAUAGAAGGCCAUGCUGAAUGUGUAAAGUUUGUUAAGAAAUUUAAAAUCCCGCUGCUGGUGACAGGAGGUGGUGGGUACACCAAAGAGAAUGUAGCACGCUGUUGGGCUGUUGAAACUGGGGUUCUUCUAGACACAGAACUCCCAAAUGAGAUCCCUGACAAUGAAUACAUUGAGUACUUCGGUCCAGAUUAUACAUUGAAAGUGCCAAAUCUGAACAUGGACAACUUGAAUAGUAAGACGUAUCUCAGUUCAAUCAAAGUGCAAGUAAUGGAGAGUUUGCGGGCCAUACAACAUGCACCUGGCGUUCAGAUGCAAGAGGUUCCACCCGAUUUCUAUGUCCCGGAUUUUGAUGAAGACGAGCUGGAUCCUGAUGAACGUGUUGAUCAGCAUACCCAAGACAAGCAGGUUCAUCGUGACGACGAGUACUAUGAAGGCGACAAUGACAAUGAUCAUGAUGACGGCGGACAUUGAAAUCGGCAUCUUGGUGAUGUAUGUAGGUGGAAGCUGAAAGUCUUUCCUGCAGCAGCAGCAGCUGUUCAGUUUAACAUCGUGGGAUGGGAAAUAGUUGGCUGGUUGACAUUUUAGGAGGAUCUAACGCCUAGGGCUGGGAAGCAUUGUGGGAGAAUGUAACACUUCCUGACUUGUACAACAUCGUACGAUUUCGCUGUACUUAAACACUCCCUCCAAUCCGAAUUAAUUGACGCAGUCUCAUACAAUGGCAAAAGGAGUACCAUCUUUUCAGUACGUACUUUUUUAUUUAGCCUUUGGAUUAUUCUUUAUAUGGGUGGCCUUUUAAAUUUGGAAAAGCAACUGAUUGAUAACGUUCAUAGAGGCAAAACUAGAUGAGACUAGCAUCGAGGCAGGGAGAGGCGUGGCGUGCAUAGGGAGAGAAGCACCGAGUGGUGGCCACGCACGGGUCCCCGUCGCCCACCCCUCCGUGACGGACGGCCUCACCGACAAGCAGCCAAAACGGCGCUUCGCUUCGCCCACUGGAACGCCUUUGUUUGCAUCCCCCUCGUGCCCCGCGCACAGCCAAUCAAUCCCGUCAGUUUCGCUUUUGCGGCUCAACACAGGUUCGAUUCGACGGCUCCUCCCAUCGCAUGGGGAUCGCACAGGCUGCCGCCCCGCUGCGCCUGCAUCUCGGAUGCUCCGGCGCGGCGCCCCCGCGGCUCACCUCCCUCAGGGUCGGGGUCGGAUCCCAUGCGAGGAAGGGCGGGAGGCGGCGGAACCCUCCCCGCGCCGCCAGCUCGCUGCAUCCCAGCAGCAACCCGAGAGCGCACGACCAUGACCCCGCCCUCAAGCCUCCCGCUCCCGCUCCCGCCGGCGAUAUCGCCGGGAGGGACUUGAACGGCGCCGCCGAUCACGCGCCGCAGCAGAGGCGGCGCGCGGCGAGCGACCUGGAGGAGGAGGCGUGGGCGCUCCUCCGGGAGUCAGUGGUGAGCUACUGCGGCAGCCCCGUGGGCACCAUCGCCGCCUGUGACCCCAACGACUCCAGCCCGCUCAACUACGACCAGGUCUUCAUCCGGGACUUCGUGCCCUCGGGCAUCGCCUUCCUGCUCAAGGGGGAGUACGACAUCGUCCGCAACUUCAUCCUGCACACGCUCCAGCUCCAGAGCUGGGAGAAAACCAUGGACUGCCACAGUCCAGGGCAAGGCUUGAUGCCAGCUAGUUUCAAGGUGCGUGUUGUUCCGCUUGAAGGUGAUGAAGAAGGCGCAACUGAGGAAGUCCUCGAUCCUGAUUUUGGGGAGGCUGCUAUAGGCCGUGUGGCACCGGUUGAUUCGGGUCUAUGGUGGAUCAUAUUAUUGAGGGCAUAUGGAAAAUGUUCAGGAGACCUUUCAUUUCACGAGAGAAUCGAUGUCCAGACUGGAAUAAAAUUGAUCUUGAAGCUCUGCUUAGCUGAUGGGUUUGACAUGUUCCCCACGUUGCUAGUCACUGAUGGCUCCUGCAUGAUGGAUCGUCGAAUGGGUAUCCAUGGACACCCACUGGAGAUUCAGUCACUGUUCUAUUCAGCCCUCUUGUGUGCACGUGAGAUGCUUACCCCAGAAGAUGGAUCUGCUGACUUGAUCCGUGCCCUAAAUAACAGGCUUAUGGCGCUCUCUUUUCAUAUUAGGGAAUAUUACUGGCUUGACAAGAGAAAGCUAAAUGAGAUAUAUCGAUACAAAACAGAAGAAUAUUCUUAUGAUGCUGUCAACAAGUUUAACAUAUAUCCUGAUCAGAUCCCUCCGUGGCUAGUUGAAUGGAUCCCUCCGGAAGGGGGUUACUUGAUUGGAAACCUUCAACCAGCUCACAUGGAUUUCCGAUUCUUUUCUCUGGGGAACUUGUGGUCUAUCGUAAGCAGUUUGGCAACAACCCGCCAAUCCCAUGCUAUUCUGGAUCUAGUUGAAGCCAAAUGGUCUGAUCUAGUGGCAGAAAUGCCAUUGAAAAUAUGUUAUCCUGCUCUCGAGGAUCAAGAGUGGAAAUACAUUACAGGGAGCGACCCUAAAAACACGCCUUGGUCAUACCAUAAUGCAGGUUCCUGGCCAACAUUGUUGUGGCAGCUCACGGUGGCAUGUAUCAAGAUGAACCGGCCUGAGAUUGCAGCCAGAGCCGUGGAGGUGGCUGAGAGGCGUAUUUCCGUGGAUAAAUGGCCUGAAUACUACGAUACUAAGCGUGGGCGGUUCAUCGGCAAACAAGCUCGACUAUUCCAAACGUGGUCCAUUGCGGGCUUCCUUGUGGCCAAGCUGCUGCUCGAAAACCCUGAAAAGUCUAGAAUACUCUGUAACAACGAAGACGAGGAAUUUGCUAAUGCUUUUAAUCUCAUGGCUGAUUCAUGCAACCCGAACAGGAAGCGUGGCAGGAAAGCCCUGAAGAAGACCUACAUUGUGUAAGUCUAACAGCAGCUCCAAUGUUAGGGGGGUUCAUAGAUGUAGCAGUGUUCAGUUUUUUUUGUGCGAAUCGCACAUAUACCACCAGGAUUUGUACAUAUUACAGUGAACUUGUCUAGAGGAAAUGCCCACUUUGAGACGCUGUCAUUCUGUUUAUGGUUGGUUAAUUGGUUAUCAAGGUUUUCGCAG
rnacentral:rRNA from 1 species